UGCGGGGUGGAGCAGUGGCAGCUCGUCGGGCUCAUAACCCGAAGGUCACAGGUUCGAAUCCUGUCCCCGCUACCU
rnacentral:tRNA from 1 species